CGCCUAACGUCUUCAGCCCAGCCAGGCUGCCCUUCUUCCCUGCGGAGGGAGGGCCUGGGCGGUCGCGUUGGCGGGAGGGAGGUUACCUUUCCCAGUCUCGCUCUGGCCGCCUGAGCCAGGAGGAAGCAGCGGCGAGGUCUGCGGGAGGCAUGGCGGGAGCUCCGGACGAGCGCCGGCGGGGCCCCGCGGCAGGGGAGCAGCUGCAGCAGCAACACGUCUCUUGCCAGGUCUUCCCCGAGCGUCUGGCCCAGGGGAAUCCCCAGCAAGGGUUCUUCUCCAGCUUCUUCACCAGCAACCAGAAGUGCCAGCUUAGGCUCCUGAAGACGCUGGAGACAAUGCUGUUAACAAAGAUAGACACUUUUCUUGCGAAGACUGUAAUGGAAAUGUCAGUGGAGGUUUUGAUGCUUCAACAUCUCAGAUAGUUUUGUGCCAGAAUAAUAUCCAUAAUCAGGCCCAUAUGAACAGAGUGGUCACACACGAGCUUAUUCAUGCAUUUGAUCAUUGUCGUGCCCAUGUCGACUGGUUCACCAACAUCAGACAUUUGGCGUGCUCAGAGGUUCGAGCUGCUAACCUUAGUGGAGACUGCUCACUUGUCAAUGAAAUAUUCAGGUUACAUUUUGGAUUAAAACAACACCACCAGACUUGUGUGCGAGACAGAGCCACUCUUUCUAUCCUGGCUGUUAGGAAUAUCAGCAAAGAAGUAGCUAAAAAGGCUGUUGAUGAAGUUUUUGAAUCUUGUUUCAAUGACCAUGAACCUUUUGGAAGGAUCCCACAUAACAAGACUUAUGCAAGAUAUGCUCACAGAGACUUUGAAAACCGUGAUCGGUAUUAUUCAAAUAUAUGAGCACAAUGACAUUUUUAUAUUACAGAGCUUCCAUCAUCAUG
rnacentral:lncRNA from 1 species